UAGUUAUGAUAAGAGAGGGUGGCGGGGGUGAUUAUUUGUGCAAACAUGGCCAUCUAAGGACUGGGAGGUCGAGGGGAAGGGACAACAAUUGAGAGAAGAAUUUGUGUCGUCGUCUUGGAGGCACGCACAGAAGCCAGCAUACUUCAGGUUUCUUGUUGAAAAUCCCAUUCCCUUUUCCCAUAGGGAAUACAAAUGUAAAAGACAGAAAAAAUGGUGAUUAACAAGAGCUUAGAAGAAGUUACACUUUCAUGCUUUUUACGACGUAUUGUCCAAUUGACAAGAAGGUUAGAUGGGAUAAGAACAUGUAUGGAACAUCUUCUGGAAGAUGAAGAUGGGCUGUGGCCUCUGACGGGAUGUCCUGCAUCACUCUAGAUAAAUGGAACCCCACUAAAUGCCAGGAAUGAGAACCAGGUUUCAUUCUACUAAACAUGUAGGGGAGACCACUGUUGAAGAAGAGGGGGAACUAGAAAACCAAGGAUAACAACAGCACUUGCCAAAGACAACUCAUUUGAUUGAGUGACAACUUCCAAAGAGUUUCGAUCAUAAAAUUGAGAAGAGGUAAUGAGAUGAAGAGGCCGUCGGUCACUGAGUAGUUACGGAGCGUUGACACGUUCAUGGUGGCGAGGGACAGAAAGGAACAGCAGAUGAAGACGGACGCAUUUGGGCAGCAGAUGAAGGAGCACUGGCUGGAUUAGGAAGAACCAAAGAGCCAUGAAGAGGCCGUCAAAAGCUUAGAAGUUAAGAAGACUUAACGCCAAAAACAAGGUAGAAGAGAAUCACAGUAAAUCAAGGUUUGGUUCCUGGUGCUUUUUCAUGUGCCAGAACUUCAGACCAGGCUCUCUCAUGAAACAACUGUAAUCCUUCCUGUUCCUAUUAUCCUUUCUCAUGCCAUAAGAAACAAAUAGUGACAUUCAUUGUCAGAUUGUUUUCAGUGUUAACAUUGUCACUGAUAAAUAUAUCAGAAAUGUUUAACAGCAUCAUUAAAAUGAAUGAAAGAAACAACCUCUUUGAUAAAUAUCUAACAACAACAAAACACUUUUGGGAGCACAGCAAUCCCUGCAACAAUAAAUAUUCAGUACAUGGUUCACAUGCAACAUCAAAUAUAAAAAAGACAUCAACAACAACAGCAAGAGCAAGAGCCUGCCAGAGCAACAUCCAGAACCGGGAGCGAAGACAGGAGGGAACACCUGCCAGUGAUGGAACACCUGCCAGUGAUGGAACAGCUCUGUCACACUGGCCCACUCAGAGGAAGCGCUGAUGUCAUUACACCUGUGAAAUGUCACACUUCCAUCCCAAGCUAAAGAGAUUUGGGCGGAAUUAUAUUGCCCGACGUCUUUCUUUACCACGUUACACAUUUAGCUCUGCGGUGAGGUAAUGUCCCUUGAUGGAAUUAGGGGACAUGGCCGAGUCUCGAUGCAUCUUUCAUUUUAUCCCUUUCUCCUGUCCUGCAAAGAUGGGUGUGAUAUUAAUAUAUGUCUUCAUACAUCAAAAUCUGACAGAAAACUGUCAGUAAAACUGCGAGUUGUUUUUGGGUCACUAAUGACCAGUUGUAAAAUAUUGUUGAAUGUGUGAAAUGUAUUAAGUGAACGUGUGUGGACUACUGAAUUUGGCAGAAUAUGUACCAGCAUUACAAUGUAGUUAUGAUAUCUUCCUCCUCCUGCUUAGAGGCAUGUGUUUGUGUAUAUUAAGAUAUUCAAAACAGAGACAAAGGGUUUAGCAUUGCUGUUUUUCCACCAUAACUUAAUAAAUGUAUGUUAUAAAUGUGUCUGUGUGGGAACCAUUCCGUGACGCCAUUGAGAUUGUUUACUGCAACUCUCACAUUUAUGUGGAAAAACCCCACAAUUCUUCACCAUAUUUGUCUCAAGCAAGCAGGCAGUAAGCAAGCAGGAGUGUCAGGAAAGGGUGGGAUGAUGAUUUUGUACAUUGUUUUAGGGUGGGUUUUGUUUUUAUGUUGCAAACCCAUUAUCUUGAAUCACAUUAAA